rnacentral:sRNA from 1 species
GGUGAUGCAAAUGAAGCUUCAUAUAGUUGCUUUGAUUGCCCAGAAGGGAAAUUUUUCCAAAACGUCAGCUCAGGUUGUAUUAGAUGGCCUUGUGGACAAGAUUGGAGAUGUGAAAUGUGGGAACAAUGCAAAAGAAGCUAUGACAGCAAUAGCCGAAGCCUGUAUGUUACCAUGGACUGCUGAACAGGUUGUGUCAAUGGCUUUCUCACAAAAGAAUCCCAAAAAUCAGUCAGAAACUCUGAAUUGGCUAUCAAAUGCCAUAAAAGAAUUUGGUUUUUCUGGGUAAGUCAGAACGAAAUCAAGUGGAAAAUAAUUAAAUGUUUUGUCAGUCUCUAAGUCGUGAUUUGUCAUAGCUAUUGCU